UGCAAUGUCCUAACCCUUUAAGCUUUCUAAUUGACUCUUAUAGCGAGCUUUAGGCCAAUGACUCCCAAAAUAGUUGACUUUAGGGCAUUAGGUGUGGAACAUCCCUCAGUCUUGCUGACUCGAGUUAAAAAGACUACGAGUUAAGACUGUCUCUAUAAAAGGUUUCUUCACAUUCUCACCUUUUUAUAUGAACAACAAUGCUUACUU
rnacentral:lncRNA from 1 species